AUUGAACGCUGGCGGCAGGCCUAACACAUGCAAGUCGAGCGGAUGAAGGGAGCUUGCUCCUGGAUUCAGCGGCGGACGGGUGAGUAAUGCCUAGGAAUCUGCCUGGUAGUGGGGAUAACGUCCGGAAACGGGCGCUAAUACCGCAUACGUCCUGAGGGAGAAAGUGGGGGAUCUUCGGACCUCACGCUGUCAGAUGAGCCUAGGUCGGAUUAGCUAGUUGGUGGGGUAAAGGCCUACCAAGGCGACGAUCCGUAACUGGUCUGAGAGGAUGAUCAGUCACACUGGAACUGAGACACGGUCCAGACUCCUACGGGAGGCAGCAGUGGGGAAUAUUGGACAAUGGGCGAAAGCCUGAUCCAGCCAUGCCGCGUGUGUGAAGAAGGUCUUCGGAUUGUAAAGCACUUUAAGUUGGGAGGAAGGGCAGUAAGUUAAUACCUUGCUGUUUUGACGUUACCAACAGAAUAAGCACCGGCUAACUUCGUG
rnacentral:rRNA from 1 species